AUACGGAGGAUCCGAGCGUUAUCCGGAUUUAUUGGGUUUAAAGGGUGCGCAGGCGGCCAUUUAAGUCAGCGGUUAAAUCGUGGGGCUCAACCCCAUUCUGCCGUUGAUACUGGGUGGCUUGAUUGCGGUCGAGGUUGGCGGAAUUCGUUGUGUAGCGGUGAAAUGCAUAGAUAUGACGAGAACACCGAUUGCGUAGGCAGCUGACCAGACCGCAAAUGACGCUCAUGCACGAAAGUGCGGGGAUCGAACAGGAUUAGAUACCCUGGUAGUCCGCACAGUAAACGAUGAAUACUUGUUUUCGGCGAUAUAAUGUCGGAGGCAAAGCGAAAGCGAUAAGUAUUCCACCUGGGGAGUACGCCGGCAACGGUGAAACUCAAAGGAAUUGACGGGG
rnacentral:rRNA from 1 species